GAAUAUUGGACAAUGGGGGGAACCCUGCUCCAGCCAUGCCGCGUGUGUGAAGAAGGCCUUUUGGUUGUAAAGCACUUUAAGCGAGGAGGAGGCUACUCUAGUUAAUACCUCGAUAUAUUGGACGUUGCUCGCGGAAAAACCACCGGCUACCUCUGUGCCCGCAGCCGCGGUAAUACAGAGGGUGCAAGCGUUAAUCGGAUUUACUGGGCGUAAAGCGCGCGUAGGUGGCCAAUUAAGUCAAAUGUGAAAUCCCCGAGCUUAACUUGGGAAUUGCAUUCGAUACUGGUUGGCUAGAGUAUGGGAGAGGAUGGUAGAAUUCCAGGUGUAGCGGUGAAAUGCGUAGAGAUCUGGAGGAAUACCGAUGGCGAAGGCAGCCAUCUGGCCUAAUACUGACACUGAGGUGCGAAAGCAUGGGGAGCAAAC
rnacentral:rRNA from 1 species